UUCUCCUUGUUGUCUUGCUCCGUAGGGGGCGACGUGGGGGAUUUCACGCUCCCCACGGCGACAGCCUGAGUGACCGUGACACCUCCGCCGGGAGCCGGGCUGUUCUUUUCCACCGUUUCCACCUUGAUAAGCCGGUGCUUUGGCGACACGAACUUGAUAUCCGGCGCCCCCACGGCGGUCACGCUGCCGGAGCCGAAUGCUAUAGUUCCCCCGGGAGUGUACGGGUCCUCGAAGUCCAGCUCCUUCUGUAGUUUGUAGGCGGCCAGAAUGUCCGGCUGAGCGGGGAAAGUAGCUCCGGAGAUGGCCGCUUGGAAGCCAGGCGUACCGGGCACACCGGUGAGGCAGGAUCGGUAGUCCGGUUUCGGGGGCGCCGGAGGAGGUGCUUUGGUAGUUUUGAAUCCGAGGAGUCCGAACCUGGUCGUGGUGGUGGUGGUGGUGAAGUCCCCGGGUCGUCAGCCGGUCCUGGCUGGAAACGAAGAGCCCAAAGUGGGCCUCCUCCUCUUGUUCCUCCAUACCUGAGACCGUCCACUGCCACCUGCUGGACACGUGACACGCAAAGGCACUCGAGCACCGAGCUCGUCCAAUCUCCAGUGACGUCAUCAAUAACAUCGCAUUGUCGAUAUGUGUAUUGUAUACUGUAUGUAUGAGUUAUAUGGGAACAAUUUAACAAUAUAUAUGUAAUAAUACACAACAAAGCAAAGCAACAAUAUAAAAUGUAGUAAAUAGUGCAAAAUAACUGACUAACUUCUACAGCAUUGCGGUCAUUUAAAUCAUAUUGCCCCCAAAACACCCAACUAUAAUGAAUAAAAAUAUUGGAAUAUUUGCAUUUGUUCACUAUACAACUACCUUUAUAACAGCCAAUCAUGAUUGACGUGUAACCCUACCAUUGACAUUGGUAGAGACUCAACAGCGCCUCUGCUGGUUGCAGCCAAG